AUGAUGGAAUCUUGCAACAUUUUACUAGUGAUCCUGUGGCUUCAGUUCUUCUGGGUGAGCACCAAGCAGAAGGAGGUGGAGCAGAGUCCUGAGACCCUCAGUGUUCCAGAGAGAGCCAUGGUCUCUCUCAACUGCACUUAUAGGGACAGUGCUUCUCAGAACUUCAGGUGGUACCGACAGUAUCCUGGGAAAGGCCCCGAGUUGCUGAUGUCCAUGUACUCCAUUGGUGACCAAGAAGAAGGGAGAUUCACAAUGCAGCUCAACAGAGCCAGUCGGCAUGUUUCUCUGUACAUCAGAGACUCCCAGCACAGUGACUCAGCCACCUACCUCUGCGCAGUGAGCACACAGUGCUCCCCAGGCACCUGCAGCCUACACCCAAACCAUAGGACCUUGGGAGGCUUGAGGGCAUGGGGAUGCAGAAGGUGGGCAGCUGAGGUGCUGGUUGGUGCAGGUGAGGUGCAGCUACUCCUGUUCUGUGACCCCCGUGCUGUUCAGGUUUGUCCAGCCCCAGAUGACGUCCACAGCUCCUCCUGA